AGCUGAGGGGCACGAGCACCGGGCCCACCAUCACGGUCAGGAAGGAAGAGAAGAAGACCAUUACUCCCUAGUGUCUGCAGUCUGGGCCGGGUAUUAUUGCGGGAGCAUCAACCCAACCACGUGCUUGUUACCCACUUCCAGAGAGGGAAAGAGAGAGGGUGGAGGCAGGGAAAAGAGAGAGAGAAAGAAGUCUAGGAUGGGUGGCAGAAACUUUCUGGAACCUGAAACGCCUCGCCCUCCCCCAUCAGAUCAAUUUCUCCAGGAAGCCUUCUGGGAAUAUGAGAAAACAGCUAUCCAGAGCCAUCUCCUUCAACUUUCUCUAGCAUCGGGACCAACUCCCUCUCCCAUCAUCAGUAUAAUUAUUGAGACGGAGUCUCUGUCACCCAGGCUGGAGUGCAAUGGUGAGAUCUCACUGUAACCUCCACCCUCCAGGGCUCGAGCAAUACUCAGGCCUUAGCCUCCUGAGUAGCUGGGGCUACAGGUGCCACCCCACCAUGCCUAGCUCAUUUUUAUAUUUUUAGAAGAGACGGAGUUUAACAUGUUGGCCAGGCUGGUCUCGAACUCCCAACCUCAAGACUUCUCCCCACCUCAGCCUCCCAAAGUGCUGGGAUUACAGGUGUGAGCCACCGUGCCCACCCUCAUUGUUCUUCAUUUUUUAAAUUCUUGUCAUUCACUCAUCAAAUGUUUAUUGGGAACCGUUUCCCUUUCAUUCUCAAUGCUGGAAUACACAGCAUUCAUGCAAUUGAGCACUUUGCUAGGAGCACAGACUAUGGAGUGCCAAUGAUAGGACUUAGCCCAGUUCUUCCCCUAACUUGGCUGUAUGACCUUGGGGGAUGCCACCGAACUUGAACAGGCCUGUGAGGUAAUACCAGGAUACUUACCUCACAGGGCUAUUAGGAGGAUUAAAUGAAGUAAUUUGUGCAAGAAACUUAGCACAGUGCCAGGCACUCAGGUAAUAUUUACCCGGGUCUACCAUAUGCCAGGCACUAGACCAGGCCUAGGAGGUAGGAUACUUGGAUUUUAGCUUCGUGGAGCUUGCAACGUAGUGUGGGGAGAGGUACGUAAUAGCAAGGCAAUUAAGAAGUCUGGGUCUCAAAUCCUGACUUAGUUAAUUUCUAGAUGUGCCGCACUAAUCAAAUUCCUUCACUUUUAAGCCUCAGUUUCCUCAUCUGUACAAUGAGAAUAAUGAUGGUAUCCUCAAGUGGUUGUAAAGAUUACAGAAGGCAGCAAAAUGUAAAGUACCUGGUACAGUAAGUUCUGGGUAAAUCUUGGCUGUUAUCAAAACCAGUUACAACACCAAAAGUAAUAAUUACCUAAGAAAGUAAUGCGGAGAGUUGGUUUCAGGUGAGGAGGACAGAGGCAAAGAAGAGAAGAGGGGGCAGGCUCAGAAGGGCGUGGACAAUGGUUUCCUAGCUAGCAUCUACCUGCUUUGGAUUUAGCAACCCACCUGUCCCAAUCCCAGCCCAGGUGGGCCCUUGGUCAGCACUUGGCCUAGCGGAUGAGACCCAAGCCUGAGCUAAUCAGCACAGUGUGUUCUUCUAGUAAGAGUGAUUGGCUUGAAAAACGGCAUAUGCCACAUCACAGGGCAGUCAGAACCCCAGGUUUGGCAGGCCACUGUGGAGAUGGGGGUCUCCCUCUCCACCAGCUCCAUCACCAGCUUGAUGGGGCCCUCGUACUGUCAGUCCUGCCAGCAUUUGGGUUACUGUGUCUGAGACCCAAAGGUUCCACAGGGCUCUGUUUGGAACCGUGGAGACCUUGAGCCUGCACCAGGUCCAUGGGGUGCUUAGCCUGGGCUUUAGAUGGCAGCAAUGCAAAGUGGGGGUGGCGGUCAGCUCUGCCCAGUGUCCACCUGGCCCAUCUAGUCCCCAGGGUGGGAGGGGGCCCUUCCUUGGCUGUGCCAGAUCCUUCCCACAUCUACUGUGGAGGGAAUGCUCCCAGGCCCCAGCCUCCUCUGGUUUCCAAUGGAGUGGGCCCUCCUCCCCAUCGUGGCACUGCCAGAUUCAGCCAGUCCUCCCCUUCUCCCCAACUCUGUGCUCCUCUUCCAGGUGCAGGCUCCCCCUACAAUACUGUGGUCACACAGGCACUGCAGCAGGGCUCCUCCCCCCACCAACGCUCCUCCUCCAAGGCAAUUCUCCAUUCCAGCGGACCUCACCACCUAAGGGCUGGGAAAAGAGUUCCAGGCAAAGGGAAUGGCAAAAGAAAAGCCCUGUGGUGGGAACAAGGUGGGUGAGUUAAAGAAUCAGCAACUUUGAACAGGUCAGAGUGCUGGGAAAAGCCAGGGCUGGUCAUGCAAAUUUGGGAACUGUGGGCACUUGUAGGUAUUUACAUCCCAAUGACUGGAAAUGGUAGAAACUGAAGAGAAGGCUUAGGACUGAGCCUUGGUGCUCCAGCAUUAACAGAGCGGGAGGAGGAGGAGGAGGGUCCUGCAGAGAAGGUUUGGCCAUCCAUCUCCCCACAUAGCCUUGCAGUUUGCCAGACCCUCCAGGACCCUAUGUGAAAGGAUAGGAGGGUCAAACCCCAAGGAAGGGAACGGGGUAGGGCGAGGAGUGGUCUCAGCCCAUCCUUCCCCCGCCCUCGGAGUCCCCAGGGCCCCUUCCCAGGCAGGUGUGCUUCUGCCUCCCUAUUCCCGGGCUCUAAAUCUCCAGCAGGAGGCAGGAGUGGGAAAGAGCCCGAGGAGGGGCAAAUCCACACCGUCCCUUCAUCCCUUCUCUGGCCGUCCACUCCCAAGGUUUCAGAGGUGCGGGUCCUGCUGCAGUCUGUGGCUCCCGCUGGGAGCAUCCCGUCUCCAUGGAAACCGCGCCUGCAUCCUGGCGCUCCCAGCAGCGCGACGCCGGCUCCUGCAGGUGGUCCUCCCCUCUGCAACCUGAGCACUGAGGCCUCCGGGAGGUUUUCUUCCCUUUGCUUUCCGCCUGCACGUUCUCUCUGCCUCUCUCUCCCUUUCGUUCUGUGUCUCCAUUCCUUUCUUUUCUCCACCCUUUUCAUUUUUUUUUUUUUUUUGCACCCCUCUCUCUCUCUGGCAAGUCCACCUUGUGCUCAAGUCGCAGUCUGGACCCCCGCCCUGCCCUGCCCACUUUCCCCCUUACUCAGCAUUUAACUUUCAUUCAACUCCCUCCUCCUCUCUAUUCCUUUUCUCUUUUCCCCCUUCUCUAUAUCUGUCCCCUCACCUUAUCCUCUCUUUUUGCCUCUCGCCUCAUAGAUCCCACAAAUACAUUCCUGUUUGCCCAGUAUGUGCCAGGCACUGUGCAGUGUGCCAGGGACAGCAGGCUUGGUGUCUGUCCUCAGGGCGGAGGCGUGUGGGGAGGAAUACAGUCAACAAAUCAACAUACAAAUAGAAGAGUUUCACAUGUCAGGCAUGCUUCAAAGGAAAAAGACCAGCAGCUCCUACCCACAAUACCAGGAGUAGUCAGAGAUGGCUGGGGCACACAGCCUGCAUGGUUUCAGAUGGUGGCUGUGGGGCCCCAGAGGCCACUCUCAGAAUGGGAAAUAUCAGAAGUCAAGCAAAUGAAGAAAAGCCAAUUAGAUGGGUUUCCUUGCACCUGGGAAAAAGAUAGGAAGGGACCAGUAGAGAUAGCCUAGGCCGGGGAAGUGCCCAGGAGAGCCAACCAUCAGGAGAUGGAAUGACUGCAGAUAAGGCAGGCUUCAGCAUUCCCAUUUACUGGAUGAGGAAACUGGGGCUGAGGCCUUUGGAUUCCAAGCUCAAGUCUCUUUUGGAAAUAAUGAGCUGGCUGAAGAGCCAGCUGCUGGUAGGCACAUAUCCGGGUGCAGGAUGGCACAAGGUUUCUCAACCUUAAUGCUCUUGAUAUUCAAGCUAGACGAUUCUUCAUAGUAGGGGUCAACCAGUGUCAUCCCUGGCCUCUACCCACCAGAUGCCACGGCCACCACCAACCCCAGUCAUAAUGAUUAAAAACCGUCAGUUGAGCAUGGGUGGCUCACACCUGUAGUCCCAGCACUUUGGGAGGCCAAGGUGGGAGAAUCACUUGAGGCCAAGAGUUUAAGAUCAUCCUGGAGCAACAAUGUGAAAACCCACAUCUACGAAAAUUAGCUGGGCAUGGCAGCAUGCACCUUUAGUCCCAGGUCCUCAGGAGGCUGAGGUGGAAGGAUUGCUUGAGCCCGAAGAUCAAAGCUGCAGUGAGCCAAGAUUGCACAACUGCACUACAGCCUGGGUAACAGAGAGACAUAGUCUAAAAAAAAAAAGAGUUCCCAAUGAGGAGAUUAUCCCUGGCUGAGAACCAGUGGUGUAGGGGCAGAAGUCCUAGGGUGAGGGAUCUCUAUCCAGCUACCCCACAGUCCCACUGACUUUCUCUGCUCCAAGCAGCCAGGAGGUAUUAUGACAAAAGACGAAUAUUAAUAUUUUUAAUAUUGUGAUAAUAUUAUUAAAGAUAGUGUUGAGUGGCCGGGUGUAAAUGGCUCACACCUGUAAUCCCAGCACCUUGGGAGGUCGAGACAGGUGGAUCACCUGAGGUCAGGAGUUCGAGACCAGCCUGGUCAACAUGGUGAAACCCCCGUCUCUUCUAAAGAUAACAAAAUUAACUGGGCAUGGAGGUGCAUGCCUGUAAUCCCAGCUACUUGGGAGGCUGAGGCAGGAGAGAAUUGCUUGAACCCAGGAGAUGGAGAUUGCAGUGAGCCAAGAUCGCACCACUGCACUCCAGCCUGGGCGACAAAGCAAGACUCUAUCUCAAAAAAAAAAAAAGUGUUGAAUACUUAACUAUGUGCUAGGGUGCUAAGUUUCUGACAUUCAUUAUCUCAUUUAAUCCUAUUAUUAAUUUAAAAAAUCCAUGAUGUGGGAAAAAAUACCACCCUCAUUAUACUUAUGAGGAAACUGAGGCUUAGAGAUACCAAGUGUCUCAUCCGAUGUCACUCAGCUAGUGAAUGGGGGAAUCUAUUCAAGCACAGAGAGUUCCUUACUGCAUGCUUUUUCUUUGAAUAAAUUCAUUUUUAACUUAGAUGCAUUUGCUUAAAAAGUAAAUUUAAAUUACUUUCGAAGAAAAGGAAACCAGGAUCAUCUGCCAUAAAUAGAAAAACACUAUAAAUAUAGGUAUAAUGAAAUCAAAACAAUGUUCUUAGAAUCUAGCCUGAGGGCCGAUUCCUCUUUGUUUAAAAGACCUGUUAGUAAAUGUGAGGGGAGUUAAAGAUGCAUUAGCCCCAAACUGAAACUUUCUCCUUAAAGUUAUGGAAGAAAUUGGAAAUGGAACCACAUGUUCGCCACUGGCUGCCCAAUGCAUCUUGCAUGUGUCCUGUGUUUGGGAAACACGCCCCACUUUUUCCUGCCUCUAUCCUUUACAUGACGAUUUUAGGCAGUCAGUUUCCCCCUCUAGGCCUCAGUUUCUUCCCGGAUGAAAUGAGGAUCAUGGGAUCUGCCCAACCCACUGAAGAGCUUUUGUGAGAAUCAAAUAAGAGAUGCGAAGUGGCGGGACAAAUUCAUAAGGGUGGAGUGUGAGCGGGUCAUGAUGACUCUUGGCAGAGUAGGAAAAAAGUCCUGAACAAAGGAUUUUUUCUAGAUAUUCAAGACAUGUUAACAAUGGCUGCCUGGGAAAGGAGGUAAGUUUGUUUUUUGCAAUGUAACCACGACAGAGACAAAUUGCUUGCUACAAUAUCUAUUCAUCCCUUCCUCCUUAGUAUUUAGAACCCCCAAUUUUUAGCUAAGACUUUGACUGUAGAGAAUAAAAACUGCAUUUUUCAACCUCCCUUGCAGCUAGAUGUGACCAUAUGACUAAGCAAAAUACAUGUAGAUGUAUUUUGUGAUGUUAAAGAACAACUUUAUGGCCGGGCGCGGUGGCUCACGCCUGUAAUCCCAGCACUUUGGGAGGCCGAGGUGGGUGGAUCAUGAGGUCAAGCGAUCGAGACCAUCCUGGUCAACAUGGUGAAACCCCGUCUCUACUAAAAAUACAAAAAAUUAGCUGGGCAUGGUGGCGUGUGCCUAUAAUCCCAGCUACUCAGGAGGCUGAGGCGGGAGAAUUGCCUGAACCCAGGAGGUGGAGGUUGCAGUGAGCUGAGAUUGCGCCAUUGCACUCCAGCCUGGGUAACAAGAGCGAAACUCCGUCUAAAAGAAAAAAAAAAAAAAAACUUUAUACAAAUAGAUUUAUAAAGAUGCUACCGGGUAAUCUUUGUCCCAUAUUUCUUCAUCGCUUUCUCCAUCCAGCUGCCUGGAAUGCAGAUGUGAUGGUCAGGAAUCUAACAGGCAUCUUUGACAAUAAAGAUAGGGACCACACCCCAGGAGUGGUGGAGCAGAAAGCAGGAAGUUGCUAAUGACUUCAGGUGCUAUGAUACCAGCUCUGGACUGCCCCACUCUGGGGCAUUUGUUUUAUAUAAGAGAUAAUAACCUUGAGUAAUUUAUUUUAUUUUUGAGACAGUCUUGCUCUAUCACUGAGGCUGGAGUACAGUGGUGGGAUCAUGGCUUACUGCAGCCUCGAACUCCUGCAAUCCUCCCUUCUCAGCCUCCCAAGUAGCUGGGACCACAGGCAUUUGCCACCAUGCUCAGCUAAAUAAAAAAAUUUUUGGUAGAGAUGGGGUCUUGCUAUGUUGUCCAGGCUGGUCUCGAACUCCUGGCCUCAAGUGAUCCUCCCACCUUGGCCUCCCAAAGAGCUGGGAUUACAGAUGUGAACCACGGCACCCAGCCUUGGGUCAUUAAACCACAAUUAUUUUGAUUUUUUUAUAUCACAUGCAGACAAACCUAGUCCUAACUGGCAUAACGUUAUAUUCUUUUUGAAUUUUGUAUCACGUGUAUUUAUUGGGAAAAAUCAUUUAACUGUGUGUCACUGGGCUAGUCUCUUCACCUCUUGGUGAUACCUACUUCUCAAAGCCACAAAGUAGACUGAGUGGUCACCAUCAUUGACUGUAAUGGUGGGACGUCUCCAUUGGCUUUGGAGUGGGAGGGUGGUACGUUCACUCUUGUAAAUAUACUUACCCCUUGACUCAACUUUAUCCUAUGGCUGUUCCCUUGUGUGUACACAAAGGAUGAAUACAAGGGUGUUCACUGAAGUAUUAUCUAUAACAAGGGACCAAAAACAUGUCUACUAAGAGGCAUCUGGCUAUAUAACUUAUGAUGGUAUCUAUGCCAUGACAUAGUAUUAAUCCAUUUGAUUGAAUGGAGUACAGUUGUAUAUGUUGUCAUGGAAAAUCUUUUUUUUUUUUUUUUUUUUGAGACAGAGUCUCGCUCUGUUGCCACGUUGGAGUGCAGUGGGGCAAUCUCUCUUUUUGUUGUUGUUGUUGAGACAGAGUCUUGCUCUGUUGCCAGGUUGGAGUGCAGUGGGAUAACCUCCACCUCUCGGGUCCAAGUGAUUCUCCUGCCUCAAUUUUUGGAGUAGUUGGGACUGCAGACAUGUGCCACCAUGCCCAGUUAAUUUUUGUAUUUUUAGUAGAGACCAGGUUUCACCCUGUUGGCCAUGAUGCUUUUGAUCUGUUGACCUCGUGAUCCACCCACCUCAGCCUCCCAAAGUGCUGGGAUUACAGGCAUGAACCACUGUGCCCAGCCCAUGGAAAAUCUUUCUAAGAUAUAUUAAUAAAUAAAAAGGAGGAGGCCAGGAGUGGUGGCUCACACCCGUAAUCCCAGCACUUUGGGAGGCUGAGGCAGGCAGAUCACCUGAAGUUGAGAGUUCAAGACCAGCUUGACCAACAUGGAUAAACUCUGUCGCUACUAAAAAUACAAAGUUAGCUGGAUGUGGUGGUGGGCACCUGUAAUCCCAGCUAUUGGGAGACUGAGACAGGAGAAUCACUUGAACCUGGGAGGCGGAGGUUGCAGUGAGCAGAGAUCAAACCAUUGCACUCCAGCUUAAGCAACAAGAAUGAAACUCUGUCUCCAAAAAAAAAAAAAAGGUCAUUAACAAUGGCUCAUGCCUGUAAUCCCAGUGCUUUGGGAGGCUGAGGUGGGAGGAUCGCUUGAGUCCAGAAGUUCAAGACCAGCAUACCAAAACCCUUGUCUCCACAAAAAAUUAAAAAAUAAAGAUAGUCAAGAUACAGAAAAUUGUACAUAGUAUAAUCCCAUCAAUUUUAAAAUAUACUUUAAUUUUUAGAGCAGUGUUAGGUUCACAGCAAAACUGAGUAGAAGAUUCAAAGAUUUCCCAUCACUCCCUGACCUACAUAUGCAUGGCCUCCCUCACUAUCAACAUCCCCCACCAGGGUGGCAUAUUUGUUACAACUGAUGAACCAACAUUGACACAUUAUCACCCAAAGACCACGGUCCACAUUAAGGAUUACUCCUGGUGUUGUACAUUGUAUGGGUUUUGACAAAUAUGUAAUGGCAUUUAUGUACCAUUGUAGUAUAUCAUACAGGGUAUUUUCACUGCCCUAAAAAAUCCUCUGUGCUCUGCCUAUUCAUUCCUUCCUCCUCUCAACCCUGGUCAACCACUGAUCGUUUCACUACCUCCACAGUUUUGCCUUUUCCAGAAUGUCAUGUAAUUGUAAUCAUACAGUAUGACUCUUUCACUUAGUAAUAUGCAUUGACGGUUCUUCCAUAUCUCUUCGUGGCUUCAUAGUUCCUUUCUUUCUUUCUUUCUUUUUUUUGAGAUGGAGUCUUGUUGUAUCACUCAGGCUGGAAUACAGUGGCGCGAUCUCAGCUCACCACAACCUCUGCCUCACGGGUUCAAGUGAUUCUCCUGCCUCAGCCUCCCGAAUAGCUGGAACUACAGAUGGGGACACUGAGGUGCAAGAGGUUCGAGGUUAUCCAAGUUAUCCAGGGUCACACAACUGAGCACUCAUUCUGAGGUCUCCUGCCAGCACCCACAAGAAUGAACUUAAAAGUGGGUCCUCCAGCCCGUCGUCCUUAGCAUGGUUGCAACUUCAUGAGAAACCCUGAGCCACAGCUACCUACCCAUCUAAGCUGCUCCCAAAGUUCUGUGUCUUUAUAGAAAAAAAGAUCAUAAAUACUUGUUGAUUCAGGUGAUUAAGUUUUGGGGUAAGUUUUUUGUUUGUUUGUUUGUUUUGGGUUUUGUUUCUUUGAAACAAGGUCUCACUCUGUCACUCAGGCUAGAGUGCAGUGGCACAAUCAUGGCUCAAUGCAGCCUUGACCUCUCUGGGUUCAGGUGGCCCUCUCACCUCAGCCUCCUGAGUAGCUGGGAAUACAGGAAUAUGCCACCACGCUCAGCUAGUUUUUGUAUGUUUUUGUAGAGAUGGAGUUUCACCAUGUUGCCCAGGCUGGUCUCAAACUCCUAGGCUCAAGUGAUCAGCCCACCUCAGCCUCUCGAAGUGCUCGGAUUACAGGUGAGUGCCACUGUGCCCAGCUUGCGGUAAUUUGUUAUGCAGCUAUAGAUAAUUAAUACACUAUUAAAAAAACAUGUUUGCAUUUGCUUGCAUAUUUAAGAAAUGUUUUGGAAAGGGUACUCAAACUGGUAAUGGAGUUGUCUCUGGGAGAAACAGGUGGGGGUGAGGAUGUAAAGGAGACUUAUAUCUGCCUGUGUGCCCUUUUUACCUUCCAAAUUUUGUCAUGUGUACAUGCAUUACUUUUCCAAAAAGGCAAAAGUCUGGAAAAAAUAAAAAUAAAAACCUUCAACAAUGCACUGCCAUCUACAAAUAAAGUCAGGUCAGGCAUGGUGGCUCAUGCCUGUAAUCCCAGCACUUUGGGAUACCAAGGUAGCCAUCUGAGGUCAGGAGUUCAAGACCAGCCUGGCAAACAUGGUGAAAACCCAUCUCUACUAAAAAUACAAAAAUUAGCUAGGCGUGGUGGUGGGCACCUGUAAUCCCAGCUAUUCAGGAGGCUGAAGAAGGAAAAUUGCUUGAACCCAGGAAGUAGAAGUUGCAGUGAGCUGAGAUCACAGCACUGCACUCCAGACCAGGCAAUAGAGUCAGACUCUGUCUCAAAACAAACAAAAAUUAAGUCUGAACUCCUUACCAUGACUUAGAAGGUCUCUACAGUCCAGCUCCAGCCCACUUCCCCAGUCUCAACUCUUACGUUUCCUGGUCUAGUUCCUUAGAGUCCCCAGACACAGUAGCUAUUCUCACCUCCAUGCCUUUGAUCAUCCUCUUCCUCUUUCCUACCCAUCCUUUAAGACUCAGCUCAAAUGUUACCCUUUUUGGAAAAUCUCCUUGGCUGUCCUUAACCAUGUUGGAAGUUCCCUCCCUGCCCUCAGAAUACCCUGUGCAUGAAUCUCCCAUUUCAUGUAUUGUACCACAUUGUGAUGAUCUGUGUUUGAUUUCUGCCUCUCCCAUCAGACUAUGAGCUCUCUGGGAGCAAGGAUUCUUACUCAGGAUCUCUAGAGGCUAGCACAGUGCCUUACAGACACACACGAUGCUCUUAGUAAAGGGUUUAUGAGAGAAAGAAAAGAAGUGGGGUGGGGAGAGAGAAGUGAGGCAAAAUUAAAGGGUGGGAAGGAAAGGAGAACAGUAGAAGAGAGGAAAGAAAGUAAAACAGCCACUUGAAAGUACUAAAAAGAGAGAGAGGAAGGAAGGGAGAGUUGGGAGAAGAAAAAAGAAAUGAGGGAGGAAUGGAGGAAAGAGGGAGGGGAGGAGGGAGAGAGGAAAUAAAUUCUCUCAACGUGUUUAUCAGUUAUCAUGGAUAUACAACAAAGACAGCGGAAGAAUAAAAUCCCAAAUCAAAUCUGAAACAAGACCCGGGGAAAUAUACCAGGCGCAGUGGCUCAGGCCUAUAAUCUCAGCACUUUGGGAGGCUGAGGUGGGAGGAUCACUUGAGGCCAAGAGUUGAACAGUCUGGAAAACAUAGUGAGAUCCUGUCUCUACGAAAAAUAAAACAAAGGCUGAGGUGGGCCGAUCACUUGAGCUCAGCAGUUCAAGACCAGCCUGGCCAACAUGGUAAAACCCCAUCUCUACUAAAAAAUACAAAAAUUAGCCAGAAAUUGCUUGAACUCAGGAGGUGGAGGUUGCAGUGAGCCAAGAUCAUGCCACCUCACUCCAGCCUGGGCAACAGAGCAAGACUCCAUCUCAAAAAAUAAAUUAAAUUAAAUAAUUAACCAGGCAUGGUGGUGUGUGCCUAUAGUCCUAACUACUGAGGGGGCUGAAAUGGGAGCUUAGUGCUUGUAUUGCCCAUGCUACCCCUCUUCCGCUGCUCACACUUGAUGUAUCUUUGAGGAAAUCGACCUUUCUCCAUCAGUCCAUGUGUGGUUCCAGAGAUGGGCAUGUAGCUCAGGCUGUAAACAAAGUCACCAUGAUUAAUUAAGAGGUGGACACUUGACCAAACUGGGCUAAUCUGCCGCCUCAGCCCUGGAAUGUUUGCUGGAGUUCUUUUUCCACAGGCCCUGCUAAGCUGAAACAAUGUAAAUUAGAGCUACUAGUAGCCUUAUUUGUCACCUUGAAGACAGAAGUGGAUUUAAAAUGAGCGAACACAGAGGAACCAAGAAAUGGAGAGAGACAGAUUCUUCAUGGCAUGAUAUGAGCUUCUGGCUCUGUCCAUGCCCAAAGCCAAAUACUCUUGACUUUCAAAUUAAGUGAGCCGAUAAACCCUAGCCUUUUUAUUUUAUUCUAAUUUAUUUAAGCCAGCUCGAGUUUGGUUUCUGUCGUUUGCCACUGAAAGACUGCUGACUAAUAUAGUGACCUAAUUAGAGAGUAUGCUCCCUGAGAGCAGGAAUUACAAUGUAUAGAUUUAACAUCCUUAGAGACAGGGAUGAUGUCUCAUGCAUCUCACUAUUACAGAACUAAGCAUCGGGAUGAUUACAGAGCGGGUGAAAAACAAACAAAAGAAUAAAUGUCUUUUUGUAUUUUUCCAAUGGCCCCAUGCUAUGUACUCAGAAGACCCUAAAAUACUUGAAUAAAAGUUAACAGGAACAAUAUCUUAUGAUAGGCACUUUUUAAUUCUUAUCUGACACAAAGAAAAGCCCUUUGAUUCUCCACAGUUCCUCUAAGGAUGACUGAUUUAUCACUUUCUGAAUGGAAUGAUCUUGAUGAAAGAGUUGUUCCAGGAUCCCCACAGGACUGAAAGAGAUACUUUAUUUUUUACUUAUUUUAUGUUAUUUUUCACAGAUAUAAACCAAACAAAAAACAGGCUAGUCUCCAACUCCUGGCCUCAAGCAAUCUUCCCACCUCAGCCUCCCAAAGUGCUGGGAUUAUAGGCAUGAGCCACCAUGUCUGACCAAAAGAUACUUUAUUUUAUUUAUUUAUUUAUUUUUGAGAUGGAGUUUCACUCUUGGUGCCCAGGCUGGAGUGCAAUGGUGCCAUCUCAGCUCACCACAACCUCCACCUCCCAGGUUCAAGAGAUUCUUCUGCCUCAGCCUCCUGAGUAGCUAGGAUUACAGGCAUCCACCACCACACCUGGCUAUUUUAUUUUACUUUUAGUAGAGGUGGGGCUUCUCCGUGUUGGUCAGGCUGGUCUUAAACUCCCAACCUCAGGUGAUCUGCUUGCUAUAGCCUCCCAAAGUGCUGGGAUUACAGGCUUGAGUCUCCACGCCUAGUCCCCAAGAGAUACUUUAAAUCAGCGUACCUACCUGCUCCCCAUUCCCUAUUGUACAAAUGGGAAACUGAGAUUUAAACUAAAAGGCUUGCUUAACACUAUACGGUGAGUCACAGAUCCAAGUCAGCCAAGAACCCCAUUCCAACACUCGUAGUCCAGUGCUCUGGCCUCUGUCCUGGUGUCACUUUAUUAACCAAAGUGAAUUAGUCACUCACCCAGAGAACUCAGAAAUCUCUGAACAAAAUGGAAUAAACUGCUCAAUUCUGCCAACUGCCCCCUCAGUCCACAUGAGUGGGGCAGUAAUGUAAGGAAAAGCCAGAAGUCAAGAACCCCCAAUUGUAGAACUAGCUUCCUCCCUUACCAACUGUGUGACUUCAAGUAAGCCCUUCUCGUCUCUAUACUCAGUUUCUUCUCUCGGAAACAGGGGGCAGGGAGGUGAGAUUUGAAGGAGCUGAUCUCUAAGGUCCCUGAAAAUCUAUGAUUGUAUGGGGGUUGUUGGACAAUUCAUCAAAUCUCCAAGAUUAAGCCCAAACAGAUUACAGAGAAUUUGAAGGCCAAGAGGUCAGCAACCCAUCUGCAGACUCCAAAUUAAGUUUGAUGAAUUGAGGGUUCCAGCUUGCCUUUGUAGGAGAAAUACACUAGAAAUAUAUAAUAUCACCUCCCUGGGUACCACAGAGAAGAAUGGAGCCAUAUUCCUCACAUCCUAUAGUUCACCUUUCUCCCUCUUCAAUGAUCCUAAAAAAAAUCCGCAACUAAAUUGAGUUGGGUGAGAUGAAUUUGAAACAAGUCCAUUAGAAUGUCCACCUCUGCCUUCUUCAAAGUAGUCCUUUUAGGAGGGUGGGCAAUUUUUCCAAUGAGGCAGUAAUUCCUCCCUGCAUUUGUAAAAGUCCUCUUGUGGAAAUAGACCAGCUUCAUGACUUUAUACUCACACCUUGGCUGUCAUUCCAAGUGACAAAUAUCAAUUUGAUCACCCAUUGUAUUCUCUAUACUUGACCUGGAGUGACUUCCAGCCAUUUCCAAAAGUUACAUUCCUCCUUUAAAAGAUAGAGAUUUCAGGCCGGGCACGGUGGUUCACGCCCGUAAUCCCAGCACUUUGGGAGGCUGAGGCGGGCAGAUCACGAGGUCAGGAGUUUGAGACUAGCCUGGCCAAUAUGGUUAAACCCUGUCUCUACUAAAAAUACAAAAAUUAGCCAGGUGUGUUGGCAUGCGUCUGUAGUCCCAGCUACUCAGGAGGCUGAGGCAGAAGAAUCACUUGAACCUGGGAGGCAGAGGUUGUAGUGAACCGAGAUCGUGCCACUGCACUCCAGCCUGGACAACAAGCAAGACUCCAUCUCAAAAAAAAAAAAAGAUAGAGGUUUCUUCUCAAUGAAAAUAUUCAAGUGAUUACACCCCAUGUUCCCAAGCUAAUUCUCUGCAAUACUUUGAGCAAUGGAAUAAUCAGCAAGUGAUGUAACGCCUCCUCCAAGGGUCUCUUUUGGAAUGGCAGACACUUGUUGAAUGUCCUGAAGUGCUUAUUUAAAAAAAAAAUCUGCUGCAUGAUAAUCACAUUUCCCCCUUCUCUUUCUCAUUCCUGGAAGACUCCAAACUUUUCCCUUCACUUGCUCUCCUCCCUCACCCCUCCCAUCCCCUGGCCCCACUUUCCCCAGACCAACUCUCUUUCCUGCCAGCAAUUAAGCAAAAGCCCAAGUUGCUGAGUCUUCAAAAUCUGUCUCUGAUCGAAAGGUAGGUGGAAGUGGGGGACUCUAAUGGAUCCUGGAAAACUGUCUCAGCAUUUCUCAUUCCCAAAAGGGCCUUCUCUGGUUCUUAGGGUAAGAUGACUGUCUUGGUCAAGCGUUUCAGAGGGUCCCAGGGACUCAUUCCCAUUGGACAUGGCACCAGAACUUUCCUGCCUGGUGCAAAGGUGGGGGUGGGGGAUGGAGACCUGCCCUCCAGAGACCCAUGUUGCCCAGUGCUUUCAACCACUCACAUCUAAAAUAUUGGAUAAGUACUAUAGACAGCCUCUCCCACCCUACCACAGCAUUUUAAAUGCUACAAAACACUCUUUUGUUUGUCCUUUUGAAAUCCUCUCCACUGUUCUACAGACGAGGAAACCAAGCCUCAGAGAAGUAAAGUGAAACACCCAAGUUGAUAGUGUCAGUAAGUUAAAAGUCCAAGCCAGAACUCUUGAUUCCCUAUAUCCUGCUUUUUUUCAACCUAACAGAAAUCGAUCAUACCUACAGCAACCCCUCAUUCAGAUAAAUAUUUCCCCCAAGAUAGCCAACAGAGACCCUUAGAGACACUAACAUGAAGCCAACCCAUCAAUAAAUGCAGUCUGCCCAUAUCCAAGCAUACAGACCCACCUACCCAGUCCUAAGGCUCUGUACCCUGCCCUAAGGUGUCUCUCUCCAGCGCACCCCCUCCCCAGCAGCCACUGAGGGUCCGUCAGCCAAGGAGGUGUGUGUCUUAACACAGAGAAGCAGAAUCUAUCUGACUCCUUCAGGAAGGGGACCUGGCAGGAAGGAGUCCCGUCCUCGGCGCCUGUUCCGGGGGUUCUGCCCACCCCCUCCCCUACCUGCCA